AGAGUUUGAUCCUGGCUCAGAACGAACGCUGGCGGCGUGGAUAAGACAUGCAAGUCGAACGAUCACUAUUGGGUAGCAAUAUUCGGUAGUGGGAGUGGCGCAAGGGUGCGUAACACGUGGGUAAUUUGCCGUAAAGUCUGGGACAACUUGCUGAAAGGCGAGCUAAUACCGGAUGUGAUUGCUGGAGGGCAUCCUCUGGCACUUAAAGUCGGGGACCGUAAGGCCUGACACUUUUCGAUAAGCCCGCGGCCUAUCAGCUAGUUGGUGAGGUAACGGCUCACCAAGGCUAAGACGGGUAGCUGGUCUGAGAGGACGACCAGCCUCACUGGAACUGAGACACGGUCCAGACACCUACGGGUGGCAGCAGUCGAGAAUUUUUCUCAAUGGGGGAAACCCUGAAGGAGCGACGCCGCGUGGGGGAUGAAUGGCUUCGGCCCGUAAACCCCUG
rnacentral:rRNA from 1 species